rnacentral:tRNA from 1 species
GCGGGUGUAGUUUAGUGGUAAAGCUACAGCCUUCCAAGCUGUUGUCGCGAGUUCGAUUCUCGUCACCCGCU